GCCCGGUUAGCUCAAUCGGUAGAGCGUGGGACUUUUAUUACCGUAUCGAAGAUCUCGGGGUAUCCCAAGGUUGCGGGUUCGAAACCCGCAUCGGGCG